CGGAAGAGCAAGAGUAAGAAUCGAUUAGAUUUUGGAGGUGAUCCGAAUCACCGUCUGGAUCCAGGAAUUUUUUGAAGGUCGAAGGACAAUUGAGAGAUGGCCGCCAGGCCAUCUCUCAAUUGGAUGGUCUUGGAUGCCAUCCAAGACCAUCAAUCAGUGGUUGAUCCAGCCUGAUCAACCACUGAUUGUCCUCACUGGUGUCAGUACAAAAAAGAGAAAGAUAUGGGAAUGACAAACACAACAAAUCUGACAUUAAUAGCAGUCCUGCUCUACAGCCAGAGCCACUGUCUGUCAUUCAGUGUGGUAAUUAGAAACUCAAGUAAAAGAUUGUGACUUGUACAGAAAGGGAUAUGCAAUAGACUAUUAGCUGUCACAUGUCGUAUCUCUUUGUCCACUCAAUAUCAGAUCACUAACAUUGUUUUCCUGAACUUCUCUCUGUUUUACUGAUACUGAAGAUGACUAAGAUGAGACACAGGUAUGAAAAGGGACUACAGUUUUCAGGCCCUCCAAAGAAUGAAGACACCAUGGACAACUUAACGUGCACUGUACAUCCCAUGAUGAUGACAAACUCCAAACCAAGUUAGAGGGUUCCUUGACAUUCCUGGACUAUCUGACAAUGGCCAAUCAUCCAUUUCCCUAGAAUCCAAAGCAACAAGUCAACAGCUAGGAGAAGAAGAAAACUGGACAAAGAGAAGUGUAUCAAACUGAGCUGCACAAAUGAAGCUGUCACUGUGUGCUUCCUCAAGUUUGUGAAGCAGAAGAUCUCAGCAUCUCCUCACCUCUAUGUAGAAAAUUCAGCACAGUCAAGAAAUAGACAAAGUUCAGACUGAAAACAGUAUGAUGUGGAAUACAUUAAAUACUCCUCUGAAUUGUUUAAAUGAUAUUUAAAAGUGUGAUUUCAUUUUGUGUUUCAGUUCAUGAUUGAAUGAUCUCCAAAUUUGUCAACGUUAUUAAACUGCAAACUUAAUUUCUCAGGAAAAGUUCUGCAAAAAACUUGGCAGAUAUCUUUGUAUGAUGUAUUUGUAUAGUUGUUUGAAAUCAUUUAACAUAAGUGCCUGUUUUCACUAGGCGAAUUUGAAUAGCCUGUUAAAUAUACACACCAUAUUUCAAUGAAACUUUCAUGAUAUAAUAGUAAUGUGAAGAGACUGCAUUACUGAUCAUAAGAUCAACUCUAUUAGAUAAAUCCACAUGUAUAUCAGUAGAUAUUUGUGUUUGUAGACACUACUUCACAGAAAUAUUUUGUUUCCAUGUGUGCACCUUUUAAUUGGUUUUGUGAUGAAUUUAAUGAAAAAAUGGGCUGUAUCUAAUCUGAUCCAGUGUUCUGUGAGAUCCUUUACUCUCAGUCAGUUUGAGUUUACAUGAAGCAUCUUAAAAAGUUAAUCAACUGAAAUAUUUGUGCUGCCUUCACAACUGCUUCUCCACCAGGGAUUAGAGUUAUUAGGACAACUGUGUAGCUAGAUGCAUUAUUCAGUAGUUUACAUUUGUACCAGUAAUUCUGCAUGUGCUUUGUGAGACUUUCCUCACAUAACUUGCUGAUUUGGACUCUGUGUUGUCUCUGUCUGCACCUGCAGGCAGAUUUAAAUGUUGAUAAACUUCUUGAGCUGGUG